GAAAUAGGCAACACGCUGCACCGUCGCGCUUCAGUUCGUAGAAGGGGACGAUUUUUUCUCUUCAGGACAGCGUCCAGGCCGGCUCUGGGUACUACCCACCUAGCCUCCCGUUCAUCUGGAAAACGAACGCGUGUUUCGGUGCGGAGUGCGUGUCUCCAGUCUUGUUAUUUGGAAUUCAAGGAGCAGAGGCAACGCCCGAAGGCGAACAUUUCCUGUGCUUGAGGUCCACAGAGUGGGAAGAGUUUGAAAAAUGAGGAACAGAAAGAAAGAAAAGAAAGUUCUGACAAUUCUGGCACCAGCAAGCGCUGUCAAUGCUCGGAAAACUACUUUCGAAACAAGAGAGAUGGUGACUGUGUGUGUUGCUGUAAUUGGAUUCACGAGGUUUGCUCUCCAUACGAUAUGAAAUGCGUCGACUGCGGCAGAAAGAUCUUGCGAGAAUCUAACAGCAGGAACCAGAAGUAAAUGGAGAACAUUUCAUUUACUGAUGAUUGGACUCUAGUUCAGUAGUUUAAGCUCAGGCUCCGGGUAAAGUUAGGAACCUUUUUCUUUUAAUGUACCUACAUAAUAAUUAAACAAUUCUUUUGAACUUCUAUUAUA